UAGUGUGGUCAGUGGGUGUACCUCUCUCCUAGUAGUGUGGUCAGUGGGUGUACCUCUCUCCUAGUAGUGUGGUCAGUGGGUGUACCUCUCUCCUAGUAGUGUGGUCAGUGGGUGUACCUCUCUCCUAGUAGUGUGGUCAGUGGGUGUACCUCUCUCCUAGUAGUGUGGUCAGUGGGUGUACCUCUCUCCUAGUAGUGUGGUCAGUGGGUGUACCUCUCUCCUAGUAGUGUGGUCAGUGGGUGUACCUCUCUCCUAGUAGUGUGGUCAGUGGGUGUACCUCUCUCCUAGUAGUGUG